GAUGAAGAACGUAGCGAAAUGCGAUAAGUAGUGUGAAUUGCAGAAUUCAGUGAAUCAUCGAAUCUUUGAACGCACAUUGCGCCCUUUGGUAUUCCAAAGGGCAUGCCUGUUCGAGCGUCAUUUGUACCCUCAAGCUUUGCUUGGUGUUGGGCGUCUUGUCUCUAGCUUUGCUGGAGACUCGCCUUAAAGUAAUUGGCAGCCGGCCUACUGGUUUCGGAGCGCAGCACAAGUCGCACUCUCUAUCAGCAAAGGUCUAGCAUCCAUUAAGCCUUUUUUUCAACUUUUGACCUCGGGUCAGGUAGGGAUACCCGCUGAACUUAAGCAUAUCAAUAAGCGGAGGA
rnacentral:misc_RNA from 1 species